GUGAAUUGUGAAUUACCAAACCAAGAAAACUAAACUAAGUGGAUCAAAAAAAAAGAAAGAAGCGCGUCUCUCCCAAAACCUUAGUUUCCAGCCGCCGCUGUCGAAAUCUCGCUUGCCUCUCCGCCGUCUGGAGAUUCGCCAGCGGUGUGAGAGGGUUCUGCUCUUCUUCUUUGUGUUAUUUUCCAGUUGUAGUAGUAGUUUGGUCCCCCGAUAUCUUCCUCUCCGGCGGUACCGAGGAAUGGUUCAUCUGUUGCGGCGGUUGAUGCUUUGGAGCGAUAUCUCGGCUCGUUUCCUCUCUGGCGGCUGAUGGUGGUGGUUUGAAGCUGCUUCGGGUGGCUUUCUUCGUAGCUCAGGGUUUGGAUCUGAGUCCAGAGUCGCGCCCUCCUGCUACACCCAACCUCUUUGUCCAGUCUGUUUGGAGAUUAUCGGUUGAGUCGGGCUUAGAUUCUACCGGUUAUUGGGGAGAAUUCUGUGUACGUCGGUGGCCGAGAUUUGAGGAUAUCCUUUAACCCGGCGUUUUUGAGAGCUUCCUCAAUUUUCUGGUGUCAGUCCAGCUAAGAAGCAAGAUAAUAAGGCAGCUGCGAUAUGACCAAUCUGAGAAGACACCAUGAGUAUUCUGUAUUUGCUAGAUAAGUUCGGAGAAACCUUUGCUCUUGCUGGUUUGCUUUGCGUCUCUUGGUCGGUUCAGUCGGAUGUAUGGUAAGUUUUUGAUUUAGGACCGGAACAAUGAAAGCCGGAGAUAUCAAGCUUUUCUGAUUUUGCACUACUGGGUGUUGAUGCUGUUGGAACAUGUUCUAAUCAUCGAUCAUGAGGUUCUAAUAGCUUGGAUUUGAAUUGUUCUUCAGAAUAGGAUUUGGUCUUCUUUGUGCUAGUAGUUGUUCUUGUGUCAUAGGAUCUUUCUUAGGUGGUUUAAGAGAUGAUUUCAUACUGAGUUGUGGUGUGUUAUCUAUUUCGCUGUGGUAGAAAAAUGCAAUAUUUUUCUGGUUAGGUAGCAUUGGAUCCGCUAGUGAUUCAGGCUUUUACUUGAUCGACUCAUUGCAUUUGGUUCAAUUUUUUAGAGAGAAAUGUUAAGUAUCUUUGAUUUGGAUGUAUUAUACUGGUUAAUGAA